rnacentral:rRNA from 1 species
AGUUCGGAUUGUAGUCUGCAACUCGACUACAUGAAGCUGGAAUCGCUAGUAAUCGCGGAUCAGAAUGCCGCGGUGAAUACGUUCCCGGGUCUUGUACACACCGCCCGUCACACCAUGGGAGUCGGAAAUGCCCGAAGUCUGUGACCGAACCGAAAGGAAGGAGCAGCCGAAGGCAGGUCGGAUGACUGGGGUGAAGUCGUAACAAGGUAGC